rnacentral:sRNA from 1 species
CUUCGCCUUCAGCCAAUCACCGCUCGAGGCCCGCCCCCGUCGCCGGAAGGAGCCGUCGCCCCUAGCAACUACAACGUCCGGCUUUCUGAGUUGGGUGGCGGGAAAGGCGAUGAGUAAAGGCCGGGCAGAAACUGCGGCGGGAGCCGCCGGGAUCCUCCUGAGGUACCUGCAGGAGCAGAACCGGCCCUACAGCGCUCAGGAUGUGUUCGGGAACCUGCAGCGGGAACACGGACUGGGCAAGGCGGUGGUGGUGAAGACGCUGGAGCAGCUGGCGCAACAAGGCAAGAUCAAAGAGAAGAUGUACGGCAAGCAGAAGAUCUAUUUUGCAGAUCAGGACCAGUUUGACAUGGUGAGUGAUGCUGACCUUCAAGGCCUAGAUGGCAAAAUCGUGGCCCUCACUGCUAAGGUGCAGAGCUUGCAGCAGAGCUGCCGCUACAUGGAGGCUGGUAGGACUGGGUAGCCCCUCAAAAGUGCCCAUAGGCUUAGGUUCAUUCUAGAGGUCAGGAAUUACUAAAUGAAUGGUUCAAUGACUGUGGCAUCUUGUUGCAGCUAAGACCCCUUUGCUGGGCUCCCUUAGGCAUAAAAAGAAAUGUAGGAUAACUAAUGGCUUUUGUGUACCAACAAAUGGACAAGAUACGCAUUUGUUCUCCCUGCCACGAUUAUCAGUACACUGUCCCCACGUUUCCCUUUAUUCCUGCUUCUUUAACUGGCUACGCCUAAGUGUUCAACCUCACACCCACACUACUUGUAGAUGGAGGAGGAAAGAAAAUUAGAAGAAUAAAUAAUCCUGUAAGGCUUCGUUUCCUGAGCAUUUCCAUGUGACAUGAUAGAUCCAGAGCAAGGUGGAACACCUCAGGGAGCACCCACUGGGAAAGACAGAACUCCUUCCUCAGGGGUAGCAAGUGACCCCAGGGGGAUGUGGUUUCAGAGCUCAAGGAAUUAUCUAGUGCCCUGACCACACCAGAGAUGCAGAAAGAAAUCCAGGAGUUAAAGAAGGAAUGCGCUGGCUACAGAGAGAGAUUGAAGAACAUUAAAGCAGCUACCAAUCAUGUGACUCCAGAAGAGAAAGAGCAGGUAUACAGAGAGAGGCAGAAGUACUGUAAGGAGUGGAGGAAGAGGAAGAGGAUGGCUACAGAGCUGUCUGAUGCAAUACUUGAAGGAUACCCCAAGAGCAAGAAGCAGUUCUUUGAGGAAGUUGGGAUAGAGACGGAUGAAGAUUACAACGUCACACUCCCAGACCCCUGAGGGGCC